rnacentral:tRNA from 1 species
UUCCAAAUGGCAGAUAAAUGCAAUAGUCUCUUAAACUUUUUUAUGAAAACCUUUCUUUGGAAG